CCAUCAUCACCAAUACUGAAAUCAAAGGAGAUCCCAACCUCAAAAUCUAAGCUCAGGACCCCAUAAUUCUAUAUCAAUCUGAUAUGAUUCCAUAUAGAAAAAAAUAAGAUUUGAAAAGGAACAACUUCAAACGCACAAGAAGAAGAUCCCCAGAACUCAAACCUCCAAAUCCCAAGAUCAAAAACUUCACAGACCCAUUAUCAAACAUAUCUUGUUCACUCCCAUACUGAUAUGAAAACACACAAAGGAAAGAAACUUCAGACACACAUCCCUUAUAUGAUGAGCACGCGCGAGAUCUAUCUAUCUACAGUUUUGUUAGUGAAUGAAACAAGAGCUAGAAGCAAGUGGAGUUGAAGAGUCUUAGAAAUCUCAUAAUUGAUCUGGAAAUUAAAGCAGCUAGAUUGAUUAAUCAGAUCUAGCUAGCUAGGUAGCUACUUGAAGAGAAAAAGAAAUGGUGGAUA
rnacentral:lncRNA from 1 species